rnacentral:rRNA from 1 species
AUUGAACGCUGGCGGCAGGCCUAACACAUGCAAGUCGAACGAGUGGCGGACGGGUGAGUAAUGUCUGGUAAACUGCCUGAUGGAGGGGGAUAACUACUGGAAACGGUAGCUAAUACCGCAUACCAUCAGAUGUGCCCAGAUGGGAUUAGCUAGUUGGGGGGGUAACGGCUCACCAAGGCGACGAUCCCUAGCUGGUCUGAGAGGAUGACCAGCCACACUGGAAAUGAGACACGGGCCAUACUCCGACGGGAGGCAGCAGUAGGGAAUCUUCGGCAAUGGACGAAAGUCUGACCGAGCAACGCCGCGUGAGGGAAGAAGGUUUUCGGAUCGUAAAGCACUUUAAGUUGGGAGGCGUUACCAACAGAAUAAGCACCGGCUAACUUCGUUCCAGCAGCCGCGGUAAUAC